rnacentral:rRNA from 1 species
UCGAGCGGAACGAUGAUAGCUUGCUAUCAGGCGUCGAGCGGCGGACGGGUGAGUAAUACUUAGGAAUCUACCUAGUAGUGGGGGAUAGCACGGGGAAACUCGUAUUAAUACCGCAUACGUCCUACGGGAGAAAGGGGGCAACUUGUUGCUCUCGCUAUUAGAUGAGCCUAAGUCGGAUUAGCUAGAUGGUGGGGUAAAGGCCUACCAUGGCGACGAUCUGUAGCUGGUCUGAGAGGAUGAUCAGCCACACCGGGACUGAGACACGGCCCGGACUCCUACGGGAGGCAGCAGUGGGGAAUAUUGGACAAUGGGGGAAACCCUGAUCCAGCCAUGCCGCGUGUGUGAAGAAGGCCUUUUGGUUGUAAAGCACUUUAAGCAGUGAAGAAGACUCUUCGGUUAAUACCCGGAGACGAUGACAUUAGCUGCAGAAUAAGCACCGGCUAACUCUGUGCCAGCAGCCGCGGUAAUACAGAGGGUGCAAGCGUUAAUCGGAAUUACUGGGCGUAAAGCGAGCGUAGGUGGCUUGAUAAGUCAGAUGUGAAAUCCCCGGGCUUAACCUGGGAACUGCAUCUGAAACUGUUAGGCUAGAGUAGGUGAGAGGGAAGUAGAAUUUCAGGUGUAGCGGUGAAAUGCGUAGAGAUCUGAAGGAAUACCGAUGGCGAAGGCAGC